GAUGAACGCUAGCUACAGGCUUAACACAUGCAAGUCGAGGGGCAGCAUGGUCUUAGCUUGCUAAGGCCGAUGGCGACCGGCGCACGGGUGAGUAACACGUAUCCAACCUGCCGUCUACUCUUGGACAGCCUUCUGAAAGGAAGAUUAAUACAAGAUGGCAUCAUGAGUCCGCAUGUUCACAUGAUUAAAGGUAUUCCGGUAGACGAUGGGGAUGCGUUCCAUUAGAUAGUAGGCGGGGUAACGGCCCACCUAGUCUUCGAUGGAUAGGGGUUCUGAGAGGAAGGUCCCCCACAUUGGAACUGAGACACGGUCCAAACGCCUACGGGAGGCAGCAGUGAGGAAUAUUGGUCAAUGGGCGCAGGCCUGAACCAGCCAAGUAGCGUGAAGGAUGACUGCCCUAUGGGUUGUAAACUUCUUUUAUAAAGGAAUAAAGUCGGGUAUGGAUACCCGUUUGCAUGUACUUUAUGAAUAAGGAUCGGCUAACUCCGUG
rnacentral:rRNA from 1 species